AUUGAACGCUAGCGGGAUGCUUUACACAUGCAAGUCGAACGGCAGCGCGGACUUCGGUCUGGCGGCGAGUGGCGAACGGGUGAGUAAUGUAUCGGAACGUGCCCAGUAGCGGGGGAUAACUACGCGAAAGCGUAGCUAAUACCGCAUACGCCCUACGGGGGAAAGCAGGGGAUCGUAAGACCUUGCACUAUUGGAGCGGCCGAUAUCGGAUUAGCUAGUUGGUGAGGUAACGGCUCACCAAGGCGACGAUCCGUAGCUGGUUUGAGAGGACGACCAGCCAACUGGGGACUGAGACCCGCCCAGACCCCUACGGGAGGCAGCAGUGGGGAAUUUUGGACAAUGGGGGCAACCCUGAUCCAGCCACCCCGCGUGUGCGAUGAAGGCCUUCGGGUUGUAAAGCACUUUUGGCAGGAAAGAAACGUCGCGGGCUAAUACCCCGUGGAACUGACGGUACCUGCAGAAUAAGCACCGGCUAACUACGUG
rnacentral:rRNA from 1 species